UACGGAGGGUGCAAACGUUGUUCGGAAUCAUUGGGCGUAAAGGGCGCGUAGGCGGCCAGGCAGGUCGGGUGUGAAAUCCCAGGGCUCAACCCUGGAAUUGCGCUCGAAACCGCCUGGCUUGAAUCCCGGAGGGAGAAGCGGAAUUCCUGGUGUAGGGGUGAAAUCCGUAGAUAUCAGGAGGAACACCGGUGGCGAAGGCGGCUUCUUGGUCGAGGAUUGACGCUGAGGCGCGAAAGCGUGGGUAGCAAACAGG
rnacentral:rRNA from 1 species